GUGGUGAAAGACUCAAAAAACCCUGCUAGAUCAUGGGUUGGCAAGGGGUAGAGGAGUAAGGCGCAAGCUCAAACUGCAAUGAAAGGUAAAAGAAAAGAAAAGUCGAUGAUUGAAAUUGAUAGGGAAUCUGAUUCUAUCCCAAAAUUUCAAGUUAAAUAGAAGAAAAUCUUGAAUCAUAGCAGAACAUGAACAUACAGUGGUUAAGGGUUCAAAAAAGUCUUUUUAAGUGACAAUCCAUGUUGUUAACCAUGAAAUUGAUAAGCUGGUAAUACAGAAAGGCAUCAGACCGGGGAGUUAUGUUAUUUGUGAGCACCAUGGUCAUCCCCCGUCUAUUUUACCAGAUGAUCCUCCAGUCUCGAGAAGGACUUGUAACUUCGUGAGGAAGAUAUUGACAGAGAUAAGGACAACUCAAUUUGAGGAAGAGGAUGACUAUGCCAACAUGGAUGUUUGGAAUUGCCAAGGUGGCGACUUUAAGAGAUUUUGUUCGUACCCUUUAAGAUUUAUUGCAACUCAUAAACUUGAAGUUUUGGGUUUGCUUGAAACAAAGGUUAGUAGUGGGCAUGCUAAUCAGAUUUGUCAUAGUUUGGUUUUGACAACUAGAUCCAAGUAGAGGCAGUUGGUCUUAAUGGAGGGAUUUGGGUGCUUUGGCAAGAUACAGUUCAGUUGAAUAUUUGUUUUACUUGUCCCGAGUUUGUUCUUGUAAGGGUGCAUAAAGCUUUCUCACGCCUUUGGUUUUUCUCUAUAGACUAUAGCAGCCCGAAUUCGAGCUUGAAGAAGCUUUUAUGGAAUGAUUUAAAGUUUCAGAAUCUUAAUCCCUAAGGUUCGUGGCUUAGUGUUGGUGAUUAUCAUUAUGUACUUGAAGAAUCUGAAGUUAAUUCUAGAGCUGUGUUUUCCAGCAUGAGGUUUGGAGAUUUUCGUCAAUGAAUUUUUGAAAAUGAGCUGAUUCAUUUGGGGUAGAGGCAAUGGGUGUGGCCUCCAUGCUGGCCUAGAUAGAGCGUUGUGUAACUCCAAAUGGUAGGUGCUUUUUGAUAUUGAGACUGUUACUCACCUGCCUAAAAACAAUUGAAUCAAUAAUCCUUUGUUGAUUUCUUUGGUGCAUGUGACCCCUUCUCUGCAUAAUCCCCCUUUCUAUUUCUAAUUAGUUUGGUAAACUCAUUUUGAGUUCAAUAAAUUUUUUGCUAAUAAUUAGAAAGAUCGCAGUCAUCUGCCUGAUAAUACUACACAUGUGAUAGCUACCCUAAGGGACUGGAAAUCUAGUGUUUUGGUGAUACUUUUAGAAGGAAAAGGCAUCUAUGGGCUCCAUUUGAUGGUAUUCAACGCAAUUUGAGGGGUAUUUUCUCAAAUAAUCUAUGUAAGCUUGAGAAGAAGCUCUAAAAAGAGCUUGACUAGGCGUUGUUAUAAGAAAAGCUUUUCUGGUUCAAAAAAUCCAGAGAAGAUUGAAGCACAAUUCAGGGGUUUGUAUUCAAGAUGAAGGUCGAAUUAAAAAUAUGGUUCAAUAUUUCUUUAGUCAGAUGUUUAGUAAGGAUAAUAGGUGUGAUCCAAAUAUCCUUCCUCGGAGUGCUUUCCUUAGAUUGACGGAUUUCCAGCAUCGAGUCCUUGAAAGUCCUAUGUCUGAAGUAGAAGUUAAAGAGGCCCUCUUCGAAAUGGCUCCUUUCAAGGCCUCGGGUCCGGACGAUUUGCAAGCGGGCUUUUAUCAAAGACUACGGUGGUUUGUAAGGAAGUUUGUUUAUGAGUUUGUUUUCAACUCUUUUAAUUUGAGAACUCUUUUUAAAGGAAUAAAUGAUAAUUUAUUGA